rnacentral:rRNA from 1 species
AUUGAACGCUGGCGGCAGGCCUAACACAUGCAAGUCGAACGAGUGGCGGACGGGUGAGUAAUGUCUGGGAAACUGCCUGAUGGAGGGGGAUAACUCCUGGAAACGGUAGCUAAUACCGCAUACCAUCGGAUGUGCCCAGAUGGGAUUAGCUAGUAGGUGGGGGAACGUCUCAACUAGGCGACGAUCCCUAGCUGGUCUGAGAGGAUGAACAGCCCAAACGGAGAUGAGACACGGGCCAGACUCCUAUGGGAGGCAGCAGUGGGGAAUAUGGCACAAUGGGCGCAAGCCUGAUGCAGCCAUGCCGCGUGUAUGAAGAAGGCCCUCGUGGUGUAAAGUACUUUCAGCGGGGAGGGGUUACCCGCAGAAGAAGCCUCGGCUAACUCCGGGCCAGCAGCCGCGGUAAUAC